rnacentral:rRNA from 1 species
CCUACGGGAGGCAGCAGUGGGGAAUCUUGGACAAUGGGCGCAAGCCUGAUCCAGCCAUGCCGCGUGAGUGAUGAAGGCCUUAGGGUCGUAAAGCUCUUUCGCCAGAGAUGAUAAUGACAGUAUCUGGUAAAGAAACCCCGGCUAACUCCGUGCCAGCAGCCGCGGUAAUACGGAGGGGGUUAGCGUUGUUCGGAAUUACUGGGCGUAAAGCGCGCGUAGGCGGAUUAGUAAGUUAGAGGUGAAAUCCCGGGGCUCAACCCCGGAACUGCCUUUAAUACUGCUAGUCUUGAGUUCGAGAGAGGUGAGUGGAAUUCCGAGUGUAGAGGUGAAAUUCGUAGAUAUUCGGAGGAACACCAGUGGCGAAGGCGGCUCACUGGCUCGAUACUGACGCUGAGGUGCGAAAGUGUGGGGAGCAAACAGGAUUAGAUACCCUGGUAGUCCACACCGUAAACGAUGAAUGCCAGUCGUCGGCAAGCAUGCUUGUCGGUGACACACCUAACGGAUUAAGCAUUCCGCCUGGGGAGUACGGUCGCAAGAUUAAAACUCAAAGGAAUUGACGGGG